rnacentral:rRNA from 1 species
CCUACGGGUGACAGCAGUGAGGAAUAUUGGUCAAUGGGCGCGAGCCUGAACCAGCCAAGUCGCGUGAGGGAAGACGGUCCUAUGGAUUGUAAACCUCUUUUGUCGGGGAGCAAAAGACGCCACGCGUGGCGUUCCGAGUGUACCCGAAGAAAAAGCAUCGGCUAACUCCGUGCCAGCAGCCGCGGUAAUACGGAGGAUGCGAGCGUUAUCCGGAUUUAUUGGGUUUAAAGGGUGCGCAGGCGGAAUAUUAAGUCAGCGGUAAAAUUGAGAGGCUCAACCUCUUCGAGCCGUUGAAACUGGUUGUCUUGAGUAAGCGAGAGGUAUGCGGAAUGCGUGGUGUAGCGGUGAAAUGCAUAGAUAUCACGCAGAACUCCGAUUGCGAAGGCAGCAUACCGGCGCUCAACUGACGCUCAUGCACGAAAGUGUGGGGAUCGAACAGGAUUAGAUACCCCAGUAGUC